UAUACCAACAUCUUCACCCACUAAUGUUCUACUCGUAAGUUUAUACUGCAUCAACAAUUCAGAGAUAAAAAUGCUUGAAAAAAAGUGAAUUGAGCAGUUCAUGACACUGAAGACAUACGAGCAGAUGGUUUGAAAAAAGAGCAAUAAGGUUGAACAUGGUGAGACAAACAAUGAACAUCAAGAAGAGGCAAAUACAAAGAGGAAUAUAUGGAAGAAGGAGUUAAUUUAUAUGUUAUUUGACUUGUGUAUCAAACAUACAUUGUGGAGUAAAGGUAAAAAUGGUGCAAAAACGUCGCACAAGAUAUUAUGGCCAAAAUUAGCAUAAAGUAACUAACUUUCCAUGGGCCAAAGCUCGACUCAAAAAUAAAUUGGAUGUAUGAGACCUAAAUGGAUGCUUUGGAAAAAUUUAAAAUCCAAAGAGACAUGAUUAGAAUGGCAUCACGAGAAAGGAACACUUAAUGCAAGUAAUGAGUGGUGGAGUUUAAAGAUUCAGGAAAAUCCAAAAUUUGAAUCAUUUAAGGAUGAAGGAAUUGAACCUGAACUCGAAAUUAAAAUGGAACAACUUUUUGGAGGAUGUGCCCAAAGCUGAAAAGUUUACUCCGAUCCAGUGGCCGAUCCUAUUGAUGUUCAAGUUCACGCACCAAAUGAUGACGUAUAUGUUCCUUCUCCAUCUCUCUACAAUGUUCACUAUUGUCAAUCAGCUGGUUAUGAAGAAGUUUGUUCUAAUGUGGGAAAUGAUGAGUGGGACACUAUGUGGAGAGAAUCUAAUCCUACAUCUACUAAUCUACCAGAGACUCUUGACAUGAAAAAUAAAGGAAAAAGAAAAAGAGUCAUGGAAUGUGAUAUUUUUGAAAGUAAUAAGAGUGCUAAAACCGAAAGAACUAAACCAAAAGGAGGAAUAGUUGCAAUAGUUGAAAGAAAUGAUAGUAUGGUGCAAAUCAUUUGUGAGAGGAACAUUUCAUCCAAAGCUUUUCAGGCUGCUAUGGUCAACAUGUUAAGUUCCAUGAGUGUUAAUCAACCAAAAUACUCUAAGACGGAUGCCAAUAGUAAAUUAUGUUCUAUGAGUGAUUUUGAUUUUAGGUCUCCGGAGUUUUACUAUGCUUGCACACUUAUUGAAGAUCCACAAAAGAGGACCAUUUUGCUUGAUUUACCAGAUGACCAAAAUCGUAUCAAGUACAUUUGAUAUAUGUAUGCACAACAUAAAGGGUCCAAGUAGUAGUAGUAGUAGUAUUAGUAUGUACUUACUAAAGUGACUAGUUUAUGUAGCAUAUGGAUAUUUUAUAUGUGCACUCAUCCUCUAAUCAUGUUCUGGACAACAGUUAUAUGUAAUUAUUAGAGGUUUUACUUCUGCUUUUACUUUUGUGGUAGUUAGAGGAUUAUACUUUUGUUGGAUGACUCAAUUACAUCCUAAUAUUUGUACACAAAACACUUAAUUAUAUUUUGCUAAAUCCUCUUUGUAUUGAAUUUUAAACUUGUGUGUUUGUGGUUAUGGAUAAUGAUAUGAAAAUUAAAUUGCUUCUCUUAUUCAAGGAUUAUAUGGAUGACGAGGAUAAUUAUUGGGAUAUGAUGGCUUGUUCAAUAGGUUAUGUUGGUGUGUAUUAUGUAAGCCAUAUACAUAAGGAAUUAUGUAUGACUUCAUAUUUAACGGGAAAAAGGUGGAUGGAUGAACUCCUUAAUGGUCAUAAACUACGAUGUUUUAAUAAUCUUAGAAUGUAUUCAAAUUUAUUUGUUGAAUUAUGCACAGACUUAGAGGAAAGAUAUGGUUUGAAGGAAUUAUAUAGAAUGUCAAUUUUUGAAAAAGUGGGUUUAUUUUCUUAUGUUCUAGCUCAUGGUAUUCCUAAUGGAUUAACCCAAGAGCGUUUUCAACACUCUUGGUGAAACUGUGAGUAGAGUCUUUAAAGUAGUUUUGAAUGUUGUGGAUGGGUUGGCAAAGGAUAUACUUGUUCCUAGAGAUCCAUCUUUCAAGGAUAUACCACAUCAGUUAGCAAAAGAUAGUAGAUAUAUGUCAUUUUUCAAGGUAAUUGAGUUUGUUGUUUUAAUUUGCAUAUAAUGUGUAAAUACUCACGCUUAUAAUGUUUUCUAC